rnacentral:lncRNA from 1 species
UCUGAAGUGACACGCAGACGGGUGCGGGCCAUGGAGCCAAGCGUUUGAGUGUGCAGAUGGCAUACUGCUGUGUUCACUUUGGGGCUCGCUGGCAGUAGAGGGGCAGUCAAGAAGAAGGGGAGGGGAAAUGGGGAGCAGAGGCUUCGUUCUCAGUGCGGGAGAGCGAAGCUGCCUAACACUGAGGUAGAGAAAUGGCUGACACCCAGACCAUGCCUUAAUUUUUCUUUGCAGAAGAGACAGACAAACCCUACGGGACUUCUGCAAGAUGCCUUCUGGACCCUAAUGUCGACAGGAGCCUAGCAUAAGUGUUUGAGAGGUUCCACCCAGCAACUGACCAGAACAGAUGCAGAGACCUACAGCCAAAUAGUAGAUGAAACUCAAAAAGUCUUGUGGAAGAGUUGGAGGAAGGAUUAAAGAACCCAAACCUGAAGUGGUUAGAAACUCAACAAGAAGACCAACAAAUUCAACUAACCUGGACCCUUGAGGGCCUCCCAGAAGCUGAACUACCAACCAAAGAGCACACAAGGUCUGGACCAAGGCUCCCUGUAGAUGUAAAGCUUGGUCUACAUGCAAGUACCCCAACAAUUAGAGCGGGAGUUUACCCUGACUGUUGCCUGCUUGUAGAUCGUACUCCCAUAACUGUGCUAGCUGUCUUGUCUGACCUCCGUGGGAGAGAACGUACAUAGUCCUGCAUUGACUUGAGGUGCCAUGGUGGAUUGGUACCCG